rnacentral:tRNA from 1 species
AUCUUUUUAGUAUCAAAAGUACAAGUGACUUCCAAUCACCCAGUCUUGGUUAAAAUCCAAGAAAAGAUA